AUCCAGUUGAUGAGUCCCAAAUAGGACGAAACGCGCAUCCCUGAU
rfam:Schistosoma haematobium scaffold358_9, whole genome shotgun sequence.